ensembl:lncRNA
CAGGAGGCUCCGCUAUGAAGGAGAGGUGUGGGGGUGGAACAAGGCCUAAAGUGCGUCCUGCGGCCGCUCGUCGGCGGGUCCCCAUCCCGUCCCUGGGGUUCGCGCCUGUAAGGGUGCUGUGCAGCCCCAGGGGCCAUCUCGUGCACAGCCAGGUGCUCGGGAUGCUGUCGCAAAGCAAGAGGAUGCUCACAGAAAGGGCGAGCCUGGACGUUUUCAACUGUGAGAGGACACAGAAGUUGUAAGCCCUCCUUGCUUAGCUGUGCCCUAUUGACCACGUCAUGUUUCUUCACCAAAGCCCUGACAGCCCUGCUGUCAGCGGAGGCCACCCAAACGCAUGGAAAGGUUGCAGGUUUAGGUGUGCCAAGCUGUGGGAAAUCGGGGCAAGAAGGCAGCAAGAGCACUCAGGAGAUCUGUCCCCUGCGGCGUGGCUGCAUAUGUGCCCCGUGACAUCGCAGUGCUCCUGAGAGCUAAUUGGAAGCAGAAGUGGGGUCCUCUGGAUCUCUUUCUGUUCUAUUUGGCCGUCCAGUUGAACAGCACAGGGUGCUGAAGGCAUCUCAGGAGCAUGGGCACAGAAGGAGAAAGACAACCUGAAUGUGGGCCACGCCCUUCCAAGAUAAGAAGCACUGGUGGGCCUAUUGAUAUACCUCAGCUGCAGUAUGAGCUGGAUUAGAGGCAAAAGCAUUUGGGAGAGGGGUUUGAUACCACCAAAGAGGUGGAAGGAGUGUGGGCAGGAAGUACCCCACUGCCUCUUCACCUUGUUCCACACCACUCUGGCAGUGGAAACCAGAUGGGCUCUCCAGGCCUGCAGUUUCGUCAGUCUGUGGAGUGAGGAGAAAACUCUUUGGCCAUCCCCAAGACUUUGCUUCCCGCUGCGAAGAUCUACUUAUUUUAUCAGCAUAAAACCCGUGCUGGAUGAAUGGCUGGAUACGUGUGAAAAAUACAUGUCUGGAAUCUGGUCUGAACUGUAGAAACAUGUUGAAAUGAUCCCAGGGAAUAAGAUUCUUGAGUUACCCGUUUACAGCCCGCACACAUUUCAUAUCUGACAGUAGGAAAAAGCAAUGUAAAAAUACCCUUAAGAAUGUGAAUCUCUGCUCUGAUUUGCACUUAAAAGGCAACAUCUGAUUAAUGUCUGUGUUUUAUUAGCAGAAGACUGAGACGAUGAAAGCGUCUCAGAUAUUACCUCUAUUGUAUCAGAUACUUUUGAUAGCAUACUGUGGAAGAAAAUGUCACAUUUCAUUAAAAAGGAUCACCAUACCACAAAGGAUUUGGCAGCGGUUUGUAAACCUAGUGGUGAUUUUCAGUGUUACCCAUUUUUCAGUCUCUGAAGAUUAUUUAAACAAAUGCUUCUGCUGACCUCCGACUGGAUCUGCCGGUGCUCACCGGUCUGUGCGUGGCUGCAUGCUGUUGUGCACCAGCUGUGGAGCUGCCUUCGCUAUAAGCAGCACGGCUGCUGUGUCAGCAGUUAACACAGCUCAAUUUUAAUAGACUUGGUUACACAGCAUAUUCUCAGACCUUCCAGCUGUGCCUAGUGAAAAUGCACACUGACACUCAUUCCAGUCUCAAUGUACCCCUUUGUGCCAGUGUUAACUUAUUAUUUUUUUAUUACCCUGCGUACAAGCAGUCUCAGUGCUCCAGAUAGCUGAAAUGUCAUACAUGUUGAGGAUAAUCUCCCAUCACUGCAAGGUUUCUCCUCUAUUAGUUGUCUCUGUGUGCUUCAUUUAAUCUGCUUGCUACCUGUUAGAAAGGCUGCCAAAGCAUUUGGUUCUUGAAGAGCUGAGUACUUCAUUUUAUCUGACGUAACUGCAUCAGCUCAGCAACAAUUUACAAAGAAUAACUUGUUUGGCAGUCUUAGGCUUUUUUUUUUCAUGGAUUGUCUUUGAACAAAUUGUAAUUGUCUUGGAUUUAUUAAUUAUUCAAAAUGUUAAAGACUUUGAGGAUUUGAUUAUGAGCAAUUUUAUGUGAGUGUUUGGUAUUCAGUACUCAGCUUCUAAGGCCAUUACUUUGUAGUGUAGACAGAUGAAGGCACAUCUUGUCUUCUCCUCUCUGUUGACAGAAGAUGCUGAAAAAUGUCAUGAGAAUUUUGCUCAGAGGGUAAGAGCUUAGGAAGAGACAAGAGGAAAGAUCCAAAUUUUCCCCCAAAACUACAGGUUGGGUAAAUAGUUUUCUAAAUGUAAUUUCUGAAGUAAAGAUCAUUGCCAAAUUUAUUUUGCGUACAUAAGGAAUGUUUGUUUCUCAUGUUAACUCCCACAUAGGGGAAUUGGGUGUGUGCCCAUGAGAGCCCCACAGCUCAGGUCAUGGCUGCCUUGUGCUUGGGUGAAGAGUAUGUUUCUUCACAACAAAUACUCUGAAAGUGCAGUUGUCAUCAGUCUAUCAGUCUGCAAAUUUCUCUCAGGAUUACUGUGAAGGUAACAGGAUGCAGUUUCCAGUUCUGGAGAGCGCUGCCAGAUGAUUGUGCAGUUUGCUGCUCUCUGAACAUUUGCUUUCUAAUUCUACUGAAGCACAAAAGGUUUUAAUUUACAGUUAAUGAGCUUUUUGUGGGAUAACAACCUGAGCUCUUGAACAGCAAGUGGCUUAAAUACAUUUGAAUACUUGAUUAGGCAAUAUUUUGUAAUGAGUCCUUUGAUCUGCUCUUGCCUACUUUUACUGCAAUGAGGAGGAGAGAAAGGGAAGGCUGUUGCUGUGAGGUAGAG